CUUAAAAAAAAAAAAAACAAAGAUCGGAGGUCAAAAUAGAUAUGUUGGAAUCCUUCUUCAACACUCAUCGCAAAAGACGGGCAAAGAAAUUUGCCAAAUGCCCUGCAGGAGUGAGCCUCAAUUCGGAACGCCAUCAAGGAUCCCUGCCAAGGCUAAGUCCUCUCUCACCACCAUUCAUCCAUCUGGGAACAGAACUAAUAAUUUCCUAACAGACCAAGCAGAGGAGAAUGGGCAAAACACACAGCAGGUGCAGAACAAUGAAAAGGAUUAUAGUGUCUUUUAAGGCACCUGCCAGAAACCAAGGGCACCUGACGAACCUCAAUAAUGGGGAAUACAAUUUACGGGGAAUACAAGUAUUUACUAAAACAGACAUAUCAGAAAAGAUGACAGGUCUUCUUCAGGGAUUCCAAUAUAUAAGUGAAAGAAGAAGAGGAGAUUAAACAAAGAGCAGAGUAUUAUUUUGCAUGGCCAGUAUUCAAAUAUCACAUGAGCCACAACUCAAAAUGAUCAAGGACCCAAAAGGAUAUGAACCAUUCAUCAUCUCGGCUUUGUAAGACAGAGGACCUGGUUUCACACAGGUCGGCCAGAGAUGUUCUAGACCACCAACGCUGUCUCUAGUUAUCUGUCUGUUCACCCAACACAGGCUGUCAUCUACCAGGGACUGCAACACCGCUCAUGAAAUCCAUGUAAACUAAUAUAUAAGCGAUAUAAGUAACACCUAGAAACCAGCAGAUUGUAUCCAUGUAAAAUUCCAUAUGACUGCACUGGAUAUAAAGGGAAGUCAUGUGGUUCUAUAGUGCUGUCUAGU